rnacentral:lncRNA from 1 species
CAGGGUUUCUCUAUGCGUAAAGAACCGAGGGCACUAAAAGUGCCUUCCCCCCUCAGCUCACUUAAGUUACUGUUGCAGCAGAAGCUUAGAGGGGGGAUUAAAUUUAGUGCAACGCAUUGCUACAGCAAUCAGAUUGCAAAAAAAAAAAAAAAAAAGAAGAAGAAAAAAAAAAUCCCUCCCGGAGCAACACUGACCUCAAUAGAAGUGAUGCCAGGGCUGAAAUUAGAUUGUGAGGUUGAGUCUCACCUUCUGUCCUCUCCUAAGAAGCCGCCUCCACAUCCCGAAUGGGACGGGGGGAGAGAGGGGUUUCAUAAUGCUUCGAGAAGAAGACGAAGAGAGGAAAAGAAAAAAAAAAAAAACCCUAAGCUUUAAUUUUAAUUCUCCUGCCUUUAUUUAUCUGAUUUGUG